UACGUAGGGGGCUAGCGUUGUCCGGAAUCAUUGGGCGUAAAGCGCGUGUAGGCGGUCCGGUAAGUCCGCUGUGAAAGUCGGGGGCUCAACCCUCGGAUGCCGGUGGAUACUGUCGGGCUUGAGUACGGAAGAGGCGAGUGGAAUUCCUGGUGUAGCGGUGAAAUGCGCAGAUAUCAAGGAGGAACACCAAUUGCGAAGGCAGACUCCGCUGGGACGUUAACUGACGCUGAGACGCGAAAGCGUGGGGAGCAAACAGG
rnacentral:rRNA from 1 species